UACGUAGGGGGCAAGCGUUGUCCGGAAUCAUUGGGCGUAAAGAGCGUGUAGGCGGCCCGGUAAGUCCGCUGUGAAAGUCCAGGGCUCAACCCUGGGAUGCCGGUGGAUACUGUCGGGCUCGAGUCCGGAAGAGGAGUGUGGAAUUCCUGGUGUAGCGGUGAAAUGCGCAGAUAUCAGGGGGAACACCAAUGGCGAAGGCAGCACUCUGGGACGUGACUGACGCUGAGACGCGAAAGCGUGGGGAGCAAACAGG
rnacentral:rRNA from 1 species